AGAGUUUGAUCAUGGCUCAGAUUGAACGCUGGCGGCAUGCCUUACACAUGCAAGUCGAACGCGAAAGGGGGUAACCCCGAGUAGAGUGGCGAACGGGUGAGCAAUACAUCGGAACGCGUCCUGUAGCGGGGGACAACCUCGAGAAAUCGAGGCUAAUACCGCAUACGAUCCACGGAUGAAAGUGGGGGACCGCAAGGCCCCACACUAUAGGAGCGGCCGAUGCCGGAUUAGCUUGUUGGCGGGGUAACGGCCCACCAAGGCGACGAUCCGUAGCUGGUUUGAGAGAACGACCAGCCACACUGGGACUGAGACACGGCCCAGACUCCUACGGGAGGCAGCAGUGGGGAAUUUUGGACAAUGGGCGAAAGCCUGAUCCAGCCAUGCCGCGUGAGUGAAGAAGGCCUUCGGGUUGUAAAGCUCUUUCGGCGGGGACGAAAUGGCGCGGGGUAACAUCCCGCGUCGAUGACGGUACCCGAAGAAGAAGGACCGGCUAACUACGUGCCAGCAGCCGCGGUAAUACGUAGGGUCCAAGCGUUAAUCGGAAUUACUGGGCGUAAAGCGUGCGUAGGCGGUCUCGCAAGUCCGAUGUGAAAUCCCCGGGCUUAACCUGGGAACUGCGUUGGAAACUAUGAGGCUAGAGUGCGGCAGAGGGGGGUGGAAUUCCAGGUGUAGCAGUGAAAUGCGUAGAGAUCUGGAGGAACACCGAUGGCGAAGGCAGCCCCCUGGGCUAGCACUGACGCUCAUACACGAAAGCGUGGGGAGCAAACAGGAUUAGAUACCCUAGUAGUCC
rnacentral:rRNA from 1 species